GGUUUCGUGGUUAAGCGGUGAAGACACUUGCCUCUCACCUUCGAGUCCCGGGUUUAAUCCCCGGUCGAGAAGCUA